ACAAGCCCCAACGGUUAAAAACCGUUGGGGCAAGUUCUUUUAGCCAAAAAACAGAACGGAGGGAAAAUUCCCCCUUUAUUUUGACGAAAUUUGAAAAAACAAAACAAAACCCCCCCACACCUGCCCCGUUCUCUGUCUCUCUCACACAUCAAAAAACCCAAACCCUCGUUCUCCUCUUCUUCAUCCUCUCGAUCUCAAAUCUACUCCCAUCUCUCUCGCCUACAGGCCUGGAGACAUCAUCCCCAAGAGCAAAGCCGGCCAAUACCACGGAUUGAGAACGGUUUGGCACGAUGUGAUCGGCCGCCACUGCCCGAUCUUUGCGGUUAAUCGUGAGGUAUUGAUUCCGAUUGAGAAGCCGACUAGGUUCACAGGAGCUGAUCCUUAUAAAUUGUAUGUUAUUGACAUAGAGGUAAUAUAUACAUGAGUAGAGUAGCGGCCAUCCAUUUACAUCAUACUACAAGCAAGUCUGACAAAUUUCUCCAUGUUAAUCAUAUAACGGUGGGAGGAAUGAGCCAAAGAUGAAGUUUCCUUAAAUAGGAGUUUCUUUCUAUAGGGUCUGACAUAUGUUGGGGCUUCUGCAAGACUUCUAUAUUGUUGGUAUUAGUAAUUUUCUUUCAAUUAACUUCUAUACGAUUUGUUUGUUUCCUGGUUUUCGUAGUAUAUAUCUUUUCUCAUUGCUACAGACUUUAUAAUAAUUUCUGAAAUAAGUGUGUUUACAAUUUUUCUUUUUCCAAGGAUAAUUUGUAAUUUCGACACCAAUUGAGAUUGAACUAGAACGAAAUAAAAAUAGGAGAAACCAUUAUGCAGCUUUGUCGGAAGAGAGAAAAAAAUGAAAUAAGAAGAAAACAAAGAGAAGCUUAUUAUAACAAAAACAAAAACAUAAGAAAAAAGAUCAAGAAAAAGAAAGCAUAAUGUUUAAUGAGCACACAGAAUGCCACCAGAUAAAUAGAGUAAGAAAAUGAAAAUAUGACAAAGACAACACUCAUAUAUUAGAUACUAUCUUCUUGCACCUAUUUGUAAAACUGUUGCACAGGAUUUAUAUUUACAUAUAGGGUUUAUUUUUAUAUGCGGCUCACUGUUCUAAGAUAAAACUAUAUGUAUUUGAACUAUUCCAAAUAUAUUCAUUCACAUGAAGAGAACAACUUCCAUUUGAACUUCUAAGAUAAAACUAUAUGUAUUUGAACUAUAAAUUUUGUUGAAGUAAUUUAUAGGUUGAGUGAUCGACCUCAUUUACAUGCAGUAUGUGCCGUUGUGUGAUUAGUUAAAUUUUGUUCAAGAAUACGAUCAGUUGGUGUCUCAAUGUGCACCGGAUGACAUCCUAAAAAUGAGAAGCUUAUUUGAACGGGCUUUUACUGCUGCUGGAGUGCAUGUGGUUGAAGUCGGCAAGAUAUGGGAAGCAUACAGAGAGUAUGAACAAGCGAUCUUUUUGACAAUUGGUGAUGACAAUAAUGAGGAAAAAUCAAAACAGGUUGAUCGGAUACGUACUUUAUUCCAUCAACAACUAUCUAUUCCCUUAGUGAAUUUAGAAUCAAAUUAGUUAAUUACAGGCUUUGGGAGGUGGAACAAGGGAACACUGGCGAUAUGAACUCAGGAAUUGGAUGGGGUCCCUGCUAAUGUUGUCUUUGCAUAUAAUAAUGCUUUGGAAAUGUAUAAUGCUCGAAGCAUGUAUGAGGAUCAAUUGUCUAAGAGUAUAGCUCACAUGGCUUAAUUUUGUAUUCUCACAUACAUGUAUAUUGUAAUCUUUUGUAAAAGUGAGGGACGCCUCACUUCAGAAAAGGCUCGCUCUCAAUAUGAGAGGCGUAACCAUGUAACUCUUUGCUUUUAAAUGAAAUCUUAGCUUGGUUGGA